GUGUCUCUGCCUUUGGGCCUUCAUCCUUCUCCACUUGGACCUUACUAAGUAUGCCUGCUACCAUUUGUUGGAGGGUAUCCACUGACUGUUUGGUCCUACUUCUGGUCAUAGGUCCCUAUAUUUGGGCAGUUUUGAGAUUCUCAUCAUUCCCUCCUUCUUGGAAAGCAUUUGCCCUCAAAUGUUAAAGAUCAUCACCAUGUUUAAGUACCACUUCCUUCCUAUUCUUGUUGGCUUGCUUGAC
rnacentral:lncRNA from 1 species